GAUGAAGAACGUAGCGAAAUGCGAUAAGUAAUGUGAAUUGCAGAAUUCAGUGAAUCAUCGAGUCUUUGAACGCACAUUGCGCCCCCUGGUAUUCCGGGGGGCAUGCCUGUCCGAGCGUCAUUGCCGCCCUCAAGCACGGCUUGUGUGUUGGGCCCCCGCCCCCCGGCUUCGGGGGGCGGGCCCGAAAGGCAGCGGCGGCACCGCGUCCGGUCCUCGAGCGUAUGGGGCUUCGUCACCCGCUCUGUAGGCCCGGCCGGCGCCCGCCGGCGACCCCAAUCAAUCUGUCCAGGUUGACCUCGGAUCAGGUAGGGAUACCCGCUGAACUUAAGCAUAUCAAUAAGCGGAGGA
rnacentral:misc_RNA from 1 species